ACAUUGAGGUAGUCUAUAUAUAUUGAACUGCUUUUAACUAUAGUAGAGGAAGUGACCAAGUAAACAUUUUUGACAUUAUAGUUGAGUUUCCAUUUAAGGUUUUUACAUGGUUACAUGGAUACUUUUGUAUCUGUGCUACCACAUCUGUGUGACAUAUGUUUUUUCUUAGGGUUUGGAAGUUAAUAGCAUUUAAAGACCAUAUUAAACAAGGAAUAAAAUAGAUUUUGAAGAAAUGAUAGCUUUCCACUUUGUGGGUGAUCAGAUCCCCUUUUAUCUUUUUUUUGCUUGGUAAGGAAGCCUGGAGUGAGCACCUAUCCUGGCAUCAAAAGAAACUUAUUUUUUUUUUUAAUUCAACCCCAACUUACACUGGCCACAUAGGUCACUGACCCACCCAGGGUUGGUUUUCUCAUCUUCUAGGUAGCUCUGGUAAUUUGCAUCCUCAAUCAGAAUGUGAUAAAAGUGAUAGAUGUAUGAAUUAUAAUUGUUGUUAUUCCAUGAGCUCAUUAGUAUUUCCACAAAGUAAUAUGAUAAAGGGGUAAUUUUUAUUUCAGUCAGAGGAUGAAGUUGAAAGUAUGGGCUUAGAUUUGAGAUUAUUCUCUGCAGAGUCCCCAUGGAUAAUAUUACAAGUAGUAACUGAAAAGGUUUGGAUUAAGGAUUUCUAGACUGAUAUUUUAGAAUAAGAUGAAUUUUGAAAUGAAAAUGCUCAAAACUAAAAUUUUGCUUGUUUUUGUUUGUAGAAGCAAAAUCAAGGCAAAAAAGUGACCUCGAAGCCUGAUCAAAAUGCAGUGAGGCCUGAUGGUGAGGGAAAUUUGGAAGGUCAUGGGCUUGAGGCCACAAAGGAUGGCAAAACAGAACCUGACUCUGAGGAUGAGAUUCCACAGCUAGUUCCAAUUCAAGCAACAUCUCCUCAAAAGUGUCCAGAGCAAGAUCUACUUAGCAGAAAAUAGACUGGAGGACCAGUUUCAAGUUUUCUGCCUGAAUAACUCCAUUUUCCUUUCGGGAUCCAGAUAAAAGUAAGCUGUAACCCAUCU
rnacentral:lncRNA from 1 species